UUAUUGCUUAUUAUUUUCAUUAUCACCGUGUCUAGGGAAACCAUCCAGGCCUUUGUCACAUGGAGAUUGAACUAUUGCCAUUGGAACUGGCUCCGCUACUCCUCAGGCCAGAGGCUUCCACUGUCCAAGACAUAGCAUCUGCCGUCCACUUGUAACAAGAGCUCAUAAACAACGGCUCCUUGUAGGGGUCCCAAUCCUGACCAAGCCCUGCCGCUCUCAUGCAGGCAAAACGUCCAUUGAAUCUAUUGCUCUGAGAGAGUGAAGCUUUCUCUACAGUGUCUUCCUUGGAGGGGUCGAGAUCCUAGAUGCAGCUUGGAACUUCUUCUUCCUCCUGUUCUCCCUGCUAGUUCUCAUAGCUUAGGUGAGGUCAAGGCCCCUAAAAGAUUACGCAGAAAGGACUUGUACUCCAGCUGAAAUUGAUGGGCAUUUUGCCAGGGUGGAGACUUCAUGAUUGGACCUGAACUAUUUCACCUUGGCAAGAGUGGGUUUUUUCAACCUGAUGAUGGAUGGCUCCAGAGUGGGGAAAAGGCUCAUGUCGCAGUUCCCCUGUAAUGAAUCUUCCUUGAAGAGAGCCCGGCGCUGGAGGAAUGGACGGUGGAGCAGUGAGGAUGCUAGAAUGUAGUGGUAUUUCCUCCUGAGCGAAGAGAGACUCUUCUUCCUGUAAUCUCCUUUUCUCCCUGUCUGAGGAGAUAUUAGCCAAGAGCCACAGAUGGGACCGUUUACGGUUUCCUUUCGAGCAGCCUCGGCCCUUUCAGAUUUUGUUUAUUCGGACGAGGUUUUCAAACAAGCGAGGGCGGAGCAGUGAAGGCCUCUCCUCGGAUAUUCUGAUUUGGAUCAUUGGUGCUGCAGGUCCUGAGGCUGAUCUGACACAAAACGACUGAUGGUUACGUUGCCUUGUGUGCUAGCUGUAAACUUGGCAGGAGCGGAAAGUUUUGACAUGGGAGGCUGUUUUCUUUGCUAGGCCUUAAAUCCCUGCUCUCAGAGUAAUCCAGAGAAUGGAAUCCUGUGGUCAUUACUAACCAACAAAAGGAAAAUCCAUUCAAAAUGGAAGGCAGCUUGCCUUGUUCACAGUCAAAUGUCUGGAGGGUGGUUGCUUUGGAGUUUUGUUUUUUUAAGAAAACACAAAGCCCAGGUCAAAAUUCGCUUCAAAUGAAAACAGAUUUUAGAGACGUCAGAGCGGCUUGCAGCACGGAAACAUUUGCCAUUUCUUUAAGUGGUCCCCUACCCAUAAUGAAUCUAGGAACAGAGCUAACAGCAAGCAACAGAGUGUCGUAGUCAUUUCUAUGGGCAAAAUUAUGGGUAAUUCUCCUAGCAGCCAUGGGCUAAAUAAGUACUUUAGACCAGAAUAAAACUGUCUGGUACAUUUCUCCCUCUAGUCCUGGGAGUGCUACAGAUAGGCCAGAAUCAUACAACUGUCACU